rnacentral:rRNA from 1 species
GAGUUUGAUUCUGGCUCAGAACGAACGUUAGCGGCGCGCCUAACACAUGCAAGUCGAACGAGAAAGGGCUACGGCCCCGGUACAGUGGCGCACGGGUGAGUAACACGUAGGUAACCUACCUCCGAGUGGUGGAUAACAUUCCGAAAGGGGUGCUAAUACAGCAUAAGACCACGGCAUCGAAAGAUAUUGGGGUCAAAGCGGGCCUCUUUAUUAAAAGCUCGCGCUUGGAGAUGGGCCUGCGGCGCAUCAGCUAGUUGGCGAGGUAACGGCUCACCAAGGCAAAGACGCGUAGCUGGUCUGAGAGGAUGGCCAGCCACACUGGAACUGAGACACGGUCCAGACUCCUACGGGAGGCAGCAGUGGGGAAUUUUGCGCAAUGGACGAAAGUCUGACGCAGCGACGCCGCGUGGGUGAUGAAGGCCUCCGGGUUGUAAAACUCUGUGGAGAGGGAAGAAUAACAUACGGUUAAUACCCGUACGGAUGACG